GGAAUCAUAACUUUUGCCCAGAAAAUCUCUAUGUAGUCUUUGCUUUCAUAUUGUUGAAUCCCAUGCCAAGAAGCUAUCCAGUAAACAGUUUGCCAUAACUAAGCAUCAGGACCAAAUAACAAGAGCCAUGGAUAAGAUAACCACCAUAAUAAAGGUCCACUAAAGCCGUAUAUAAACAAAGCCUUCCCAAACAACCUCGAUAUUUUGUACCUGUCACAUCAGCAAAAAAGGCAUGGCUACAAUCCUCGACUUCAGUACAGCUGCUUAACUGUAAUUGGUUAUAAAGUUGUGUAAGAAAUUGUCCCAUCCUGGUGAAUAACCAUCUCAUCUCAUUCAUUGUUAGUUCAUGGUUGGGUUAGAGCAAGGGUGAUAUAAUAACACACAAAGCAGUAACUUUGGUACCUAAGACUUGCAGCUACCACAAAAUGAUGCUGUGUAUUCUCAGAGGUGGAGGAUACAGCCCAUCUGACUUCUGUUCUUUGCUCUACCUAUUCAAAGAAUAAUAAAUUGAUAUCAGUAAUCUGCUCUAUUUUCUCUAGGCACUCCAAGAGUGAGAUUUGGAGUAUUUAAGGAAUCUACUAAAGCUCAGAAAUGAAACAUAGGCCAUCUAGAACAAUGGAUCUUUCCAAAGUAAUAGCAAAGCUUGCCCAUGUGAGAACAGAAUUUUCUUUGGAAACAGUUCAGCUCUGUCUCAGAAACUACAGAUAAGGAACGAUCCUUGAACCUUGACUGAAUCCCUUCAUCUGAGACAGGCAUUGCUUUCACUGUUGUUUCUAUGACAGCUGAAUGUGAAUGGUGAAUGUGUCUUUGGAAGGCAGAAGCCAUUGAUUACACCCCAGAAGAUGUGAUUCAUUUGAACUACAAAAUCUCUGCUUGUUGUGGUACUAAUAAGCAUUGUGCCUACUGAAAGCUGUAGCAGAAGAGAAAGGGAGGAGGCCUAACAUGCCUGACGCUGUCUUUUGUCUGUGUUGCAGCAAAGGGAGAAGGAAAGAUGUAUAGGAAUUGUCUUAUCAUCAUGCACACGUAUACACACACAUAAGCAUUUUUAUUUCUUUAUCUAAUCUCCUGGACGCUUUUUCAAUGCCUGUCUUAACCCUUUGUUCUUGAAGUAAGCAAGGAAAAACUAUACGACAAGCAUUUAAUUUUUUUCUUUCUUGAGAGCAGCUAGUGUCCCUUGUGUUGAGAAGAAAAUAGUACCGUGUGGAAAGCUAAAUUUCAAUUAAUGCAUCAAAGGGCAGUUUGUGGUGUUUUGCCUAUAACUAAGGCUUAACUGAGUUGCAGGACUGGGAAUUUUGUGUUUUCCUAUAUGCUCACUUACUGCAUUCUUAGCUCUCCUACUUUUCUAGUCUUCCUCUGUUUCUCCAAAUGGGACUAAUGAAAGCAGUAUAAUCUUGUCGAAUAUGGUUCUUGCUGAGGAAUUAGAUGAACAGCUGCUGGAAACAGUCUGGGAAUACAAUUCGGUGAAAAAAAAGAGAUGAGGUACAAACAAAUUCCCUUAUGAUGCCAUUCAUUCUAUAUGCAGUAUUAUACCAGAGGGUGGAAAAAUGGGAAGGCCUAAAAUUCAAUUUCAAUUUGAGCUGGUUUAAAAAGAAGCAAUUCUACAUACAUUGCAGCCACAAAAGCAUAUAUUUAUAGGCACAGGCUUUCACUUUGUAGGUAGAAACUGCACAGCUGGUUGUGUACAUCUGGUUUUUUGCAUGCAUAAGAACUUACUUUUACAGGCACAACAAUUGUACUUUCUUCUCAGUAUUUCCCAAACAGUUAUGCUAAUUCCUACAUUAUCUAGUUCAUAUCUCUUCUUCGUGCUUUAAACAAGGUUGGGAAGGGGAAGAAAACCCUACAUUUUGGCAUGCAGGACAAUCAAAAAUCCAAUCCAGAAACUGAAAAAGUCAUUGGUAUGUGUCAGUGUUCCUGCAAUAUCCUCCCACUCACAUUUUUGCAUUGUAAAAAUCCAGCAUGCAAUUGUUGGUUAGGACUGGAAAUUAAAGCUAAUCUCCUCAGUUGCCUUAUGCAUGUCAUACACCAAUUGAAGUAAUGGUGUUUUGCUUUCUUGUCUUGCUACUUCAGUGAACUUCUUCUCAGGUCCUUUACACCUAGCAGUGUCUGGGAAACACACACAGAAUUAAACAUGCCUGUCUAUGGAAAUGGGAGAGUCAAACACAAGAAUUAUGUUGAUCUUGGAUAAAUUAUCAUUUAGUGUAGUUCUAAUAAUUCACACUAUUUGGUAAAGUUUGGUGGGGAUCUUGGUAAUAUAGAACAUGCUGUGGCCUUUGGCCACACAUCCCAUAUUUUGAAUCAGAUUUCCACCAACUUGUUUCCUUUCAUCCUACUGAUGGCCAGUAGCCAGUAGUAGGAGUUGGAUUCUUUUCUUGAUUGGUGGGUUAGAACACAUGAAAACCCUCUUAUGCUGUGUAUGUUUUGUAAACUACAAGCUUGGACUGAAAACAGCCAUUUUAGAGUUCUAGGAAAGUAAUUUUAAAUAAAUAGUUCAAAAUAUUAUUCUGGAACAGAAUUUUUUCCAGUUUUUUAAAAUUGGAAGAGGCCUUCUUGGUAGUUAUGAAGAAAGAAAUAUGUAUUUUUUAAAAAUAACUCUUAGACAUCAUCUAAAAGUUUAACAGUCAUGAAGAUUUCAUCAUAAAUGACAUUUUGGUUUCUCUAAAAGGGAUUGCAUUAGCUCUCAGAAUGGAAGUGUCACCAGAUCAACUGUAACUAUAGCUUGACACUUUGUGCUUCUGUGCAUGUGCACAGCUUGAUAUUAUCUAAGUACUGGUAACAGUGAUACCUAAGGCUGCCCUGGAUAAACACAGGUUUCUGAUGACAGCAUCUUAAGUACAGGAGAAAAGCUCUUGUGCAGUUUACAUUUAUGAUACCAUCAUAUCCCUGAGGUGCUGACAGAGCUUCAUUCACAGUUUUUCGGUGAGUUGUUUUUCUGUAUUUCAUGUAUCACUUCUCUUUCUUGGUGAAAAUUAUUGAUAUUUCUUCUCUUUAAUAAAGCCAGAUUAAAAUUAAGAAUGAAUGUCAAAAUACCUUUUACUAACCUCGUUAUUUUAAAAGAAUUCAAAAUCCCAAUUUGACUUCUUAAUGGUUGUAAAAUGUAUGUUUUGGACAAUAGAACUGUAUUUUAAGAAAUAAAGCAAUAAAUAAAGAAUAUUUUUGACACAUUUAUGUUUAAAAAUUGCUGAAGUUAGUUUUCUUUAUUUUUUCAUUUUCAUAGUUAUUUUUUAUUUUACGUGGAGGUUUGUUUUAUUUUACUAAGACCUUGGUUCACCACAACAGUUGUACUGCCUAAUCUAUAGCAAUCACGUUAAAUGAAACAGGUUCUCCAGUACUGAAAUCAUUACGGGAAAAAAGAAAAAGGAGGUCCAGUCCACCAUCCCUGUUGUGGCAGGAAAUGGGUAACUAGGUCAUCCCUGACAGAUGUUUGUAUAGGCUGCUGUUAAAAACCACAAAUGAAGGGGAUUCCACAACCUCUUAAACCUAUUCCAUCUAAUCUAGACUUUAAGUUGAAAGGAUUUUUUUGUUGUUGUUUCAUUUUUUAUAUGUACUCUGCUGCAUAAUUGUUAUAAUUCAGGUGGGUACAAAGAUCUGUUGACCAUGACUUUCUGUAUGCUACCUUUUAAAAUACACAUUUUCCCUCCGGUCUUCUUUUUCUGAGGAAGCCAAGCCCCAUUCCUUCAAUCUUUCUUUGUAAGUCAUAUUUUCAAAAUAAUUUACCAUUCUUGUUGAUUUCAUUUCAACUCCAUCCAAAUUGUUGAAAUUGUUCUUAGAGUGCAUUGCCCAAAAUUGCACAGAAUGCUCCAGCUGAGGCCUCAGCAGCACUGAAGACUGCAAAAUAAUUAGGUCCUGCAUCUCACAUACUGCACACUCCUAGUACAUCCUGGAAUGCAAAAUGCCUUUCUGCAAUGUCAUCACGUUGUCGACUAAUAUUUAGUUUGAAAUCCACUUGAACCUUCCUAUCAUUCUAUCAUCAUCAGGUUAUAUUAAUAUACUCUGUUUUAUUUUUGUCAUGGGUAGUACCUAAUUUCUCUCUGUCUAGUAUGAGCUUGUUGCAGUUAUACUGUUUCUCACAUUAGCUAAAUAUUUUGGAUUCUGAUCUGCUUUCCUGUGUAUUUGCAACCCUCUUCCAGAUUUUUUUGCAAAUUUUACAAGUUUAGUCCCUGUUUUAUUAUCCAAGCUGUUCAAUGAAAAAUUGAAUAGAAUAGGAUGGAUGAGAAAUCCCUGAAGGAUGUUACUGCAGUGCCAUCCUACUCUGUCAGGAAACUGUUGAUAAAUACUGUUUGAGAGAAAUACUUAACGACUUGUGUGUCAACUGUUACUUGAAUUUGUCUACACGAUUUUUUUUGUUGCAGGCAAAAUUAAUGAGGACCCGACUAAAAGCUUUGUUAAAGUACAGAUAUCACAUUUACUGCUUCCUUCUUAUUCAAUAGGCCUGCUGCCCUUUCUAGGAAGGAAAUUGGAGAGAUUUGACACAAUAAUGAUUCUAAGAUUACAUUUUAAAAUCUUACUACUUAACUGUUUUCUAUCAUACUGUUGUCUUCAUGCCUAUACACUAACUGCCUAAUAACCUGGAUAGUAUCCCUCAGAGAUGGAUGAAGUUAUUUAUGAAAGUUAGGUCAAUUGAACUUUAUUUCCUAGGACAGGCAGCAUUUUCAUCCUUUCUAGUCUUCUAGGACCUCCCUUGCACUUCAUGAAUUCUCAA